CAGUAGCCGCGGUAAUACAGAGGGUGCGAGCGUUAAUCGGAUUUACUGGGCGUAAAGCGUGCGUAGGCGGCUAAUUGAGUCGGAUGUGAAAUCCCCGAGCUUAACUUGGGAAUUGCAUUCGAUACUGGUUAGCUAGAGUGUGGGAGAGGAUGGUAGAAUUCCAGGUGUAGCGGUGAAAUGCGUAGAGAUCUGGAGGAAUACCGAUGGCGAAGGCAGCCAUCUGGCCUAACAUUGACGCUGAGGUACGAAAGCAUGGGGAGCAAACAGGAUUAGAUACCCGCGUAGUCCCUGUCUCUUAUAC
rnacentral:rRNA from 1 species